rnacentral:rRNA from 1 species
CCUACGGGUGGCAGCAGUGGGGAAUAUUGCACAAUGGGGGAAACCCUGAUGCAGCGACGCCGCGUGAGUGAAGAAGUAAUUCGUUAUGUAAAGCUCUAUCAGCAGGGAAGAAAAUGACGGUACCUGAGUAACAAGCCACGGCUAACUACGUGCCAGCAGCCGCGGUCAUACGUAGGGCGCAAGCGGUAAACGGAUUUACUGGGUGUAAAGGGAGCGUAGACGGCAGGGCAAGUCAGGAGUGAAAGGCGGGGGCUCAACCCCCGGACUGCUCUGGAAACUGGACGGAUGGAGUGCGGGAGAGGUGAGUGGAAUUCCAGGGGUAGGAGUGAAAUGCGUAGAUAUUAGGAGGAACACCAGUGGCGAAGGCGACUUACUGGACUGUAACUGACGUUGAGGAUCGAAAGCGUGGGGAGCAAACAGGAUUAGAUACCCGUGUAGUC